rnacentral:rRNA from 1 species
GGCACGCCUUAUACAUGCAAGUCGAACGCAGUAGCAAUACUGAGUGGCAGACGGGUGAGUAUAAUGUGGGAAUCUGCCUUUUGGUUUGGAAUAACUCGGGGAAACCUGAGCUAAUACUGGAUAAGCCCUUACGGGGAAAGCUUUAUGCGCCAAAAGAUGAGCCCGCACUUGAUUAGCUUGUUGGUGAGGUAAAAGCUCACCAAGGCAACGAUCAAUAGCUGUUCUUAGAGGAAGACCAGCCACAUUGGGACUGAGACACGGCCCAGACUCCUACGGGAGGCAGCAGUAAGGAAUCUUGCACAAUGGGGGAAACCCUGAUGCAGCGAUGCCGCGUGAGUGAAGAAGGCCUUUGGGUUGUAAAACUCUUUCGUCGGGGAAGAAAAUGACUGUACCCGAAUAAGAAGGUCCGGCUAACUUCGUGCCAGCAGCCGCGGUAAUACGAAGGGACCUAGCGUAGUUCGGAAUUACUGGGCUUAAAGAGCUCGUAGGUGGUUAGAAAAGUUGGUGGUGAAAUCCCAAGGCUCAACCUUGGAACUGCCAUCAAAACUUUCUAGCUAGAGUGUGAUAGAGGAAAGUGGAAUUUCUAGUGUAGAGGUGAAAUUCGUAGAUAUUAGAAAGAACACCAAAUGCGAAGGCAACUUUCUGGAUCGCAACUGACACUGAGGAGCGAAAGCAUGGGUAGCGAAGAGGAUUAGAUACCCUCGUAGUCCAUGCCGUAAACGAUGUGUGCUAGACGUUGGAAAUUUAUUUUCAGUGUCGCAGCAAAAGCGUUAAGCACACCGCCUGGGGAGUACGACCGC